rfam:Colletotrichum higginsianum, IMI 349063, WGS project CACQ02000000 data, contig: cont1.7498
GGUCUGGUGGUGUAGUUGGUUAUCACGUCAGUCUAACAGCUCGAGUGUCUCACCACUCUCGUCUGCCACACUGAAGGUCUCCGGUUCAAGUCCGGGCUAGAUCA